CAAAGCAGCAUCGCGGUGGCGGAGCGUCGUUUGCGACGCCCAACACACAAAACAAGCGGUGAGUGCUUUGGGGUGGGGUGACUGCGUACCUUUUGUAUAAUGGGUCAGCGACUUAUAUUCUGUAGCAAGGUUAACCGUAUAGGGGAGCCGUAGGGAAACCGAGUCUUAACCGGGCGUUAAGUUGCAGGGUAUAGACCCGAAACCCGGUGAUCUAGCCAUGGGCAGGUUGAAGGUUGGGUAACACUAACUGGAGGACCGAACCGACUAAUGUUGAAAAAUUAGCGGAUGACUUGUGGCUGGGGGUGAAAGGCCAAUCAAACCGGGAGAUAGCUGGUUCUCCCCGAAAGCUAUUUAGGUAGCGCCUCGUGAAUUCAUCUUCGGGGGUAGAGCACUGUUUCGGCUAGGGGGUCAUCCCGACUUACCAACCCGAUGCAAACUGCGAAUACCGGAGAAUGUUAUCACGGGAGACACACGGCGGGUGCUAACGUCCGUCGUGAAGAGGGAAACAACCCAGACCGCCAGCUAAGGUCCCAAAGUCAUGGUUAAGUGGGAAACGAUGUGGGAAGGCCCAGACAGCCAGGAUGUUGGCUUAGAAGCAGCCAUCAUUUAAAGAAAGCGUAAUAGCUCACUGGUCGAGUCGGCCUGCGCGGAAGAUGUAACGGGGCUAAACCAUGCACCGAAGCUGCGGCAGCGACACUGUGUGUUGUUGGGUAGGGGAGCGUUCUGUAAGCCUGCGAAGGUGGCCUGUGAGGGUUGCUGGAGGUAUCAGAAGUGCGAAUGCUGACAUAAGUAACGAUAAAGCGGGUGAAAAGCCCGCUCGCCGGAAGACCAAGGGUUCCUGUCCAACGUUAAUCGGGGCAGGGUGAGUCGACCCCUAAGGCGAGGCCGAAAGGCGUAGUCGAUGGGAAACAGGUUAAUAUUCCUGUACUUGGUGUUACUGCGAAGGGGGGACGGAGAAGGCUAUGUUGGCCGGGCGACGGUUGUCCCGGUUUAAGCGUGUAGGUGUGUGUUCCAGGUAAAUCCGGUUCACUUUAACACUGAGGCGUGAUGACGAGGCACUACGGUGCUGAAGCAACAAAUGCCCUGCUUCCAGGAAAAGCCUCUAAGCAUCAGGUAACAUCAAAUCGUACCCCAAACCGACACAGGUGGUCAGGUAGAGAAUACCAAGGCGCUUGAGAGAACUCGGGUGAAGGAACUAGGCAAAAUGGUGCCGUAACUUCGGGAGAAGGCACGCUGACA
rnacentral:rRNA from 1 species